AAAACUUUCAACAACGAAUCUCUUGGUUUGAGCAUCGAUGAAGAACGCAGCGAAAUGCGAUAAGUAAUGUGAAUUGCAGAAUUCAGUGAAUCAUCGAAUCUUUGAACGCACAUUGCGCCCCUCGGUAUUCCGGGGGGCAUGCCUGUUCGAGCGUCAUU
rnacentral:rRNA from 1 species